GAUGAACGCUAGCGGCAGGCCUAAUACAUGCAAGUCGAACGAGAUUAAGAGGCUUGCUUCUUAUGAAAGUGGCGCACGGGUGCGUAACGCGUAUGCAACCUACCUUAAUCAGGGGGAUAGCCCGAAGAAAUUCGGAUUAAGACCGCAUAAAAACACAGGAUAGCAUUAUCCAAUGUUCAAAUAUUUAUAGGAUUAAGAUGGGCAUGCGUGUCAUUAGCUAGUUGGCGGGGUAACGGCCCACCAAGGCGACGAUGACUAGGGGAUCUGAGAGGAUGACCCCCCACACUGGUACUGAGACACGGACCAGACUCCUACGGGAGGCAGCAGUAAGGAAUAUUGGGCAAUGGAGGGAACUCUGAACCAGCCAUGCCGCGUGCAGGAAGACAGCCCUCUGGGUCGUAAACUGCUUUUAUUCGGGAAUAAACCUUUCUACGUGUAGGAAGCUGAAUGUACCGAAGGAAUAAGGAUCGGCUAACUCCGUG
rnacentral:rRNA from 1 species